GCUGCGGCCGCGCCCCGGACCUUGAACGCGUGCCCGCCCUCGAGCGGUCCCCGGGAGCUCGCGGAAGCCCGGAGGCUGCCGCCCGCAGUCCUGCGUCUCGUAUCCGCUCGUCCCUUCACCGGACGCAGAUUGACUGAGCGCUGGCAAAAUGCCACGGGCGGAAAAAAAAAAAUGCCACGGGCGGUUCCAAGGGCUGGCGGUGCAUCCGAAAGGAAGGCGAAGAUCCCUUGAUAGCUUUGCCUUCAUCGAGCUUACAUCCUGGUGAAGAGAAGACGGGCAAAUAAGCAUAAUAAAUAAGUAGAUCAUAUAAAAUGUUGAAAGGUCCCACGGUCUCUACCUCACACCCCGGGGGGAAAGGAGGGGUGCUGUUUUCUCUGUUUCUGCCUGGCUGUGGACAUCAACCUUCCCUGGAGGUCCCCUGGCUCAGAUACAUCAGCCUGCAUUUCAAAGGAAGCUUCUAAGGAACAAUAAAAUGGAAAACAAGAAUCCUACAAACAGCACAUCCCACAUACCUCCUACCUUUGAAUCUCUCUCCUUCUCCUCCUCUCUACCCCCCCCCCAAGCCAUAUGAACCUUUUGGGAGCAGAAAGAGGGAUUGGUGUAGGCACGGGGGCUUCUUGGAGCACCUCCCACCACCACUACCACUAAAGCCAGAGUUAGAGUCACUCCUUCAUGGUAUCUCUGUACAGGGAAGGAAGAACUUAGAUCUUUGGGACACACCCCACCUCAUGCCACCCUCCUUACACUAAGAAAAAUAGUGUGUUUGGAGAGCCCAGAGCCUUUCAUCCUUACCUCUUAUCUAUCUCUAGUGGAACUGAUCACACUUUCCUAGUGAUGACCUCUUUUCCCUACUAGACCUUAUAUCUAAUUCAGCUUCACAUUCCUGCCAGUGCCCAGCUGAGAGCUCAAGCUAUAACAGCAGUGAACAUGUGUCGUUAUGUGCUAAAUACCAUGCUAAGCCUUUUUCGAGAAUUGUCUCCCUUCAUUCUCAAGACACCCUAUGAGACAGGGAGUGCCUUUAGCCUCAUUUUAGAGAUGAGAAAGAUGGGUUUCGGAGAGCUGAACUGGCCUAACAGCAUAGAAUUCCAAUAUGUUACACCUCCUCCCCCACUGAGUGAGUGAAUGAGUAAAUGAUGUCUCUUUCACGGAGAAGGGGGCCGAUCCCAGAGGUCUUUAGAGACAGACGAGUAGGCAAGCUCCACAUUGGUGAUAGCAAGUUCCAUUCUUUCUUCACCAGUCCAGCAUUGUACUAAGCCGGGCAGACAAGGCUAGCAGGCUAGCCUCAUGUUGUGUGGACUGUUUUCCUUUCAGGCUGCAAACAGCAAAGAUCUCUAUGCUGCCUGUGAUGUGUGAUAUAAAAAUGGACUCCUGGCCAAAGUUCCUAGAACCUUUGUAAAGUCCUAAGCAAUAAAAGUGCUAGGGGCAGGGGCAGCCCGGGUGGCUCAGCGGUUUAGCACCGCCUUCACCCCAGGGCCGGAUCCUGGGUACCUGGGAUAGAGUCCUACAUCGAGUUCCCUGCAUGGAGCCUGCUUCUCCCUCUGCCUGUGUCUCUGCCUCUCUCUCUCUCUCUCUCUCUCUCUCUCUCUCUCUCUCUCUCUCUCUCUCUCCCCCUGUGUGUGUCUGUCAUGAAUAAAUAAAUAAAUAAAAUCUUUAAAAAAAAAAAA
rnacentral:lncRNA from 1 species